rnacentral:rRNA from 1 species
UGAGCCAAGUUUAGGGUUUUCUCAAAACCCAAAGAUGUUUGAACUGAAGAGUUUGAUCAUGGCUCAGAUUGAACGCUGGCGGCAGGCCUAACACAUGCAAGUCGAGCGGCAGCACGGGUACUUGUACCUGGU